GGGGAUGUAGCUCAGUUGGUAGAGUGCUUGCCUAGCAUGCACAAGGCCCUGGGUUCAAUCCCCAGCACCACAA
rnacentral:tRNA from 1 species